rnacentral:lncRNA from 1 species
UUAGGUAAAUCGAUUUCCCCUGCGCAGACACCAAAAAUAAGUCUUUUUUUUGCACAAAGGGUAUUUGGUUCCCCCACUUUCUCACUUGAUUUACCUAUAAAUAGAUGCAAUAUUCCCCCUCAUUUUUCAUGCUUUCUAGCCUCCAAAAAUUCUGAAAAAAUAUCAUCCAACCCCUCUUCUCCAAACCUAAAUCAAAACCAAAAAAAACCUUUCUCUCCCAAAAGUCACCACCACCAACUUUUUUCCAUUUUCAUAUUUUUUUCUCAAAAUUUCUCACUCUCU